rnacentral:rRNA from 1 species
UUAGAGUUUGAUCCUGGCUCAGAACGAACGCUGGCGGCAGGCUUAACACAUGCAAGUCGAACGAACUCUUCGGAGUUAGUGGCAGACGGGUGAGUAACGCGUGGGAAUAUACCUUUCGGUACGGAACAACAGUUGGAAACGACUGCUAAUACCGUAUGCGCCCUAUGGGGGAAAGAUUUAUCGCCGAAGGAUUAGCCCGCGUUGGAUUAGCUAGUUGGUGGGGUAAAGGCCUACCAAGGCGACGAUCCAUAGCUGGUCUGAGAGGAUGAUCAGCCACACUGGGACUGAGACACGGCCCAGACUCCUACGGGAGGCAGCAGUGGGGAAUAUUGGACAAUGGGGGCAACCCUGAUCCAGCCAUGCCGCGUGAGUGAUGAAGGCCCUAGGGUUGUAAAGCUCUUUCAGCGAGGAGGA